UGCGUAGGCGGAAUAAUAAGUCAGUGGUGAAAUCCUGUGGCUCAACCACAGAACUGCCAUUGAUACUGUUAUUCUUGAAUAUAGUUGAGGUAGGCGGAAUGUGUAAUGUAGCGGUGAAAUGCUUAGAUAUUACACAGAACACCGAUUGCGAAGGCAGCUUGCUAAACUAUUAUUGGCGCUGAGGCACGAAAGCGUGGGGAGCGAACAGGAUUAGAUACCCUGGUAGUCC
rnacentral:rRNA from 1 species